GAAGAAGAAGAAGGAGAGGAAGAAGCAGAAUCAGAUACAACCAAACCUGGAGGAAGUUUCAUAUAAACUUCCUCAUCUAAAUCACCAUGAAGGAAAUCAUUAUUGACAUCAAGCUGAAACAAUGGUCAGUGGUUCUUGACAGCCACAACAAUAAGGCAUUUCACUGAAGUCAUUUUAACAACAGGAGAGAAUGUGUCUGUAAAAUCCACACCCUCAACUUGGGUAUCACCUCAUUAUCCCUUUGAGGGAUAGGGACAGUAGCAUAAGCUAGGCAACCAAAAGCCCUCAGGUGAGAGUAGGAUGAGGGAGAACCAUGUAAAAUUUCAUGAGGUGAUUUAUGGUGAAGAACUCUGGAUGGAAGUCUGUUAAUGAGGUAGGUUGCAGUUAACAAGCAAUCACCCCAAAAUGAUACAGGCAAACCAGACUGGAAAAGAAGGGCUCUACAAGUUUCAAGUAAAGAUCUGUGUUUUCUUUCAUGGGGGAGAACCAUGUAAAAUUUCAUGAGGUGAUUUAUGGUGAAGAACUCUGGAUGGAAGUCUGUUAAUGAGGUAGGUUGCAGUUAACAAGCAAUCACCCCAAAAUGAUACAGGCAAACCAGACUGGAAAAGAAGGGCUCUACAAGUUCCAAGUAAGAUAUGUGUUUUCUUUCAACAAGCCCAUUCUGUUGAGGGGAAUGAGGACAAGUGGUUUGAUGUACAAUCUCCAGUUCACUAAAAAAAGAAAUCCCUUCUGCACUGGAACCCAGUUCCAGGGCAUUAUCACUCCUGACAACCUGGACCAUGGAGUUAAACUGAGUUUGAACAUAGGAGAUAAAAGAUUUAAGUAAAGGGAAGGCAUUACUUUUAGAACCCAUCAAAUGUGUCCAGGUGUNNNNNNNNNNNNNNNNNNNNNNNNNNNNNNNNNNNNNNNNACCCAUCAAAUGUGUCCAGGUGGCCCUAGAAAAAUCAUCAACUAUGGUGAGAAAGUAUUUACUGCCAAAGGAAGUAGAAGUAUGAUAAGGACCCCAAGUAUCUACAUGUAUAAGUUGAAAGGGUCUAGUAGUGCUAAUACUGCUAUCAGGGAAAGGCAAUCUGGUUUGUUUUACCAUAGGACAAAUAGAACAAGGAAAAGGUUGUUUAGUAGCAAAGGGAAAAGAUAAACCAGAAAUAUGUUUCAUAUUAGCAAAAGAGGUAUGUGCUAAUCUNNN
rnacentral:lncRNA from 1 species